CCCUUAGAUGUUCUGGGCCGCACGCGCGCUACACUGAUGAACGCAACGAGACCACCUGUACCGAAAGGCAUGGGUAAACUUGUGAAAGUUCAUCGUGAUGGGGAUAGAUUAUUGCAAUUAUUAAUCUUCAACGAGGAAUUCCUAGUAAGCGCGAGUCAUCAGCUCGCGUUGAUUACGUCCCUGCCCUUUGUACACACCGCCCGUCGCUCCUACCGAUUGAAUGAUCCGAUGAAUAUCAUGGAUUGAGGAUGCAAGUAGGUUAGCCUAUCUUCAUCUUCGAGAAGUGAAGUAAAUCUUAUCAUUUAGAGGAAGGAGAAGUCGUAACA
rnacentral:rRNA from 1 species